ensembl:lncRNA
UCUCGAGUUCCAAGCCAGCCUGAAUGACAUAGUGAGAUUGUAUCUGCAAAAAACAAAAGGGAAUAGGUGCCAUGGCUAAGGCAUGCUCUGGUGAGAGGUUGAAAGGUCUUCCUGGAAGGUCAGGAACGUGACAGGAGUGCCCCUUGUGCCACUGCUGGUUGACAGCACCUGGGGUCCUAGCUGGGAGCAGUCAGAAAAGAGGAAGCAGCAGAAGCUGUCCACGUGGGAAAGGAGAGAGUGAGGGCCUCUUGUCUGCUGACAAGAUGAUCUUACACGAAGAAAACCCUACAGACUGCAGCAAAAGUGGCCAGAACUCAGAAACACUGGAAAGUGCAGGAUCCAGAGUCUGCAAGUGCGGGUGUAGCCACGGCCAGAGGAGCACAAAGGAAUGGGACCAAAGCAAGUCCAAAAUCCCACCGGGGAAACAUUAAAUCCCACAGUUCCACUUCAGCAUCCCCGGCAAUCUGUGGAUUUAUUUCGGUCUGCACUAGAGGGAGCCAACGCACCUGACCUGGGUGUAUGUAUAUUGCAGUGUUCAAACGAGGUGUCUCUCCCCAAAAGGGGAACUGGACUUACAGGUAUGAUAAAAAAGGAACAGGAGAAGAGGAAGCCACCCCAGUUACAGCCUAAAGGUUGUGAGAAAUAGCAAACCACCUCCUCUCCGGUGACUCUUCACUGAGCUACGAUGGCUGGAAGGAAGACCUGGGUUGAAAAGAAGGACAGAGGGGCCGGGGAUUUAGCUCAGUGGUUUCACUGCCUGCUGUGCAAGUGCAAGGACCUGGUAUCGAAAAAAAAGAAAAAAAGAAAAGAAGGACAGAAAGGCUGGCUCCAGUGUCCAGCAACUGGCUAGCCUUUAUUCCUUCCAUAGUUGUGACUGC